CCAGGGUCCUGCAUCGAUGUAGGUUGUGAUAAAUGGAUCACCGACUGGUGAAGAGCACUUAAAGUUCGUUUUUUUUUUUUUUUUUUUUUUUUUUUAAGAACAUAUUCCCUCUCACUAAUCUUAAAACGGUAUAACUGAACAAUUGUCCGAAGGUUAUUGAAGUAGGUCAAUGAGAAUACCAAGCGCAUCCAGUGGGAGCGUCCCGGAAUACAAGGAAGUUUAUAUAGCGUAAGAAGCUACUUGACCUUUGCAAACUGAGCGAUGUUAGCGAUUUUGCGAGUAAGUUAGUUGCCAUACUGCUUCGUUGUCUAUGUAUUAAUGUCUAUAUUUUUUUCUUUUUUUUCUUAGUGAGAUUGGGAUGUGUCUUUAGUUUUGACUCCGACUGUUAUCAAAUAGGUUUCUUCUGUCAAAUCAGAGGCUCGAUGUAUAGUGGUAUCGAAUUGUGUUAAAUCUUCAGAACUCGUUAUGGGUCAAAGAGUGAAGCUGAAGACGAGGUAGCAAAGGUGGAGCUGGCUGAUGAUUUUGGGAGAGAGAAUCAUGCCUCAGCGUAAUGCUGUGAAAUUUCAUGAAAUCGAAUCACGUAUGACAUUGCAGUUGGUGAAAGUUGAAGGAGGAUUUAUGAUGGAGCUGUCAUGUCUCUCGAGUAUGUGAUAAAGACGUCAGAGAUUUUGGCUCUAGGGAGAUCCAGAGAGCAACGGGAAGCACUUCGUAAAUAACGGAGGGCAGAGCAGGAAGCCAAUGUUAAGAGGAAGGAUAAGAGCGGAACUUGAGGAAUAAGAGAAAACCCUUAGAGGGAACGGACAAGGCGGAGGAAGACUAUGACGCCUCAGCAGACAAUGAAGCAGAAAUGAGUCCUGAUGGAGGUUCAAUUGGGGCUCGUGGAUUAAGGAAUAAUGACAUGGAAGAUGCUGAUUGGUACAGGCAGAAAGUAGGGAAGGAACUUGAACGUAAGUGCAAAGAUCUUUUUAUGAAUCUAUUGACUUUGCGGCAUGUUCCUUCAGUUUUUUAUUUCCUUUACUUCUAUGAUGCUGGUAUCCUGUGAUUUCUGAAAUGGUUUCAGGUAUACUCAUAGUUUCAGCAACAUCCUUAAGAACUUUAGACUUCAUUAGUUGCCGUUUCACGUACAAGAAAGAUUGGCUGUAUGCUGGUUCUCUGUCUUACAAGGGACGUACUUGGUAAUUUCGGGUUCAUGGAGUGUAUUCGCCCCAGAAUCAUUCUGUGAAAUGCUUUUACAUCUUCUAUA